GUCCUCAGAGUCGGAUUGUUUGAGAAUGCAGUUCAAAGUSGGUGGUAAAYUCCAUCCAAGGCUAAAUACGGGCACGAGUCCGAUAGCGGACAAGUACCGUGAGGGAAAGUUG
rnacentral:rRNA from 1 species